AUGGAACGCUGGCGGCAGGCCUAACACAUGCAAGUCGAGCGAGCGGCGGACGGGUGAGUAAUGUAUGGGGACUGCCCGAUAGAGGGGGAUAACUACUGGAAACGGUGGCUAAUACCGCAUACUAUCGGAUAACCCAUAUGGGAUUAGCUAGUAGGUGGGGUAAAGGCGCACCUAGGCGACGAUCUCUAGCUGGUCUGAGAGGAUGAGAAGCCACACUGUGACUGAGCCACUGCCCAGACUCCUCCGGCGGCAGCAGUGGGGAAUAUUGCACUAUGGGCGCAAGCCUGAUGCAGCCAUGCCGCGGGUAUGAAGAAGGCCUUAGGGUUGUAAAGUACUUUCAGCGGGGAGGCGUUACCCGCAGAAGAAGCACCGGCUAACUCCGUGCCAGCAGCCGCGGUAAUAC
rnacentral:rRNA from 1 species